AGAAAUCCCACAUUUAUAAAAGCAGGCAAAUGAUUGUGUGACAAAUACUUACAGGCAAAUGAGAAAAAUUAGAAAAAGUUCCUCCUUCUAAAAUAAUCUUUUUACAGCAUACAAUUCUCUUAAAUUCUGACACUUAUGCCUGCUUGCAAAAACAAUUUCAGUCAACACUUCCCACCUGUCUACAAGGUGUCUCAAGCUAGAUAUUCCUAUGCCAGCACAAAUUAGACAAUGCAAAAAGGAGCUGUUCCCCCAUCACUAGGCUGGAAGCCUUGAAGUAGCUGCCAACCUUCACUGUACUUCAACCCACCAAGAUGAAAAGGUAUCCCAAAUGUUAAGUACUUGUCUUAUAGAGUCAAAUGAAUGCCUUCAGAUACAAUGUAAUAGAUAUUACUUAAAUAUCAAACCUUGGAAAAUAUGUGUCAAAGUAACAUAAAUUCGAACAUUUCCAUUCUGUUUCUUGUAUAAAAGCUGCAUUGAGUUUCCAGCCCUUUGGAAAAUUUGUCUCAGGGAUAGUGGAACCUUGUUUGGCAGGUUGAAUAAGUUUCCAUUAGUUAAAUGCAAGCAGGGUGAUUUCAUUUUAAAAGUGAAAUGUGAAAGUGGUUAAACGGGCAGGAUACAACUAAUCAUACUAGUCUUUUUAAAAAUUUGAAAAACAAAACAAGAAGAAGAGUUCUAAUUCAAAGCACAUGUAGGCAUUAUUUUGCAUUAAGUGCUUACAGGCCCAUUCUCCCAGUGAACUGAUGAAAUAGGCACAAACAGUCCACACAUUUGGAGCAUGAGCUCUUUCUCCCUACCUCCAGUAGCUGAAAUUCAGAGGUGGCUAUAUGGACUCAAAAGCCAAAGCCAGUACAUUAAUUCUGCCUAACUGGCCAUCCAUUCUUCUCUUGCUACGGCUUCUAAAUGUGCUAGGCCAGUGGUUCUUAACGUGUGCACCCUGGAUCAAUGGCAGCAGUAUCACGUGGGAACUUGCAAAUGCUUGGGUCUCCCAAUCUACUGCAUCACAAACUCUGAGGGCGGGGCCCACCAAUGUGUUUGAACAAUUCCUACAGAUGUUCUGGUGCCAGAGCACGGGAAGUACACCUGGGCUGCAUUUAUGCCCUCUGUUUGGGGGCAGCUUCCACAGAGAAGCCAUUAGGCCUCUUCUUAGGUAGUACUGAGAAAGCUUCAACUGGCUCUCAUUUGCACUGACACAUAAUAUGGACUCAGCCUUCCUCACUAUAACUCAAUUCUCUGAUAUGACAAUUAAUGGAAUCACAUAAUGUUCAGCAGCGCCUAGGAAGUAGGGCCUCUGUGACAAACCUGGGCCAUGUGGAGAAAGCGAACCCUAAUUAUUCAUUUUGUCGAUCACAAAGAAAACUCCUGGCCCAAAACCAUAUGGUUUAAUUUACUUGGCCUCCAUAGGAAGAGUUAUUGAUCUACAAUGAGAGAUGAAAUAACCACAUAAAAGAUGGAGUAUUGCAGUUAGUUUAGGAAAGCCUCUAACACUUCCUUAUUUGAAAAA
rnacentral:lncRNA from 1 species